AUGUCUGGGUCUAAUGUUUCCGGCUCAAACGCCACGUUGGCUUGUUGCAGCCACAGCUCCAGCUCGGCCACUUGAGUCUUGCAGACAUGGAGGACUUCUGCAGGCUGAGGCCUACUUCUCUCUACUGUGGCUUCAAACGCGCCUUGCUCGUGAGGAAAGUCCAGAGGUGAAGCCUCAAUGGGAGGUGUGGCACCCUAAAAUGAAGCCAAAGGUAAUCCAGCAGUGAGACGCCAGGAAUCCAAGGCUUUUACUCUGGGGCUUGGAAAGACCUGGGAACCUGCAAGCCCCUUCCCUCCCAUUAAACGGGCCAAAAUAAGGACAGAGGAGGAAGAAAGGAAAGAAAAAUGCACCUCCACACGCAUAGCAACACCCACGUGACCUGUCGGCCCAGGUUUCCAGGCAGCCAAUCUGCAUGUACACAGACUCUCAAAUGUUAAGAACGGACUGCGUUAAUGUGAAGUUUGAAUACAAGCGUGAUAUAUCCUCUGCGAAUUGAAACCACUGGAUUUCUUACCAAUACAAAAGCGAACUUUCUCCCAGAUGUAUUUGCUAGUUUCAGUGUGGAGGUAAGGAUGAUUUUAGCAUGGCAGACUUGCCUGACACCGCAGGACCUACCCUCUUCCUACUCUUUCCUGGAAUGCUCAAGAACGUUGGCCCUUCUAGAGAAAUCCCUUCAGGAAUACAGAUUUGCAUUCUGAUCUGUAAAAACACUGGUCUCAAUACAUUCUGUGUUAACUAGAAAUAAAACCAAUUGCAACAUUUCCCACUAAA